CUGCUUUAACAGCAUGUAGACUAACAUUGGAACAAUACAGAGGAAAUUAGCAUGGCCCUUGUACAGAAUUACACUCAAAUUUGUGAAGUGUUCCACACUUUU